UACAGAGGGGGCAAGCGUUAUUCGGAAUUAUUGGGCGUAAAGGGCGCGUAGGCGGUUUUUUAAGUCAGAUGUGUAAUCCCCGGGCUCAACCUGGGAACUGCAUCUGAGACUGGAAGGCUAGAGUACUGGAGAGGGUGGUGGAAUUCCUCGUGUAGCGGUGAAAUGCGUAGAGAUGAGGAGGAACACCAGUGGCGAAGGCGGCCACCUGGACAGUAACUGACACUGAGGCACGAAAGCGUGGGUAGCAAAC
rnacentral:rRNA from 1 species